UGGAGUUCUCCAACAACUGUACAGGAUGGGGAGUCUGGGAUUUUGGGACCUGAUCAGGCACUCUGCAGGUGUGAAGGAGGCAACCCUCAAACUGCAACGGCAGCAGAUGCUUAUAAGAAAAGACGGAGGUAUCACUGGAUUUACAGUCACAAUGGAAAGGAAAAGGUGGUGGUGAUUUUAGCUGAUAUCUCACUCCUGACGGCAACAAAGGCACAGAGAACACAGCUGCUACUGGCAUUCCAAAGUCACUCGUGUCUGUAUGCUGCUAACCUGUUUACUGCAAUGGUGCCAACUGAAUUCACUGUGUAGUGACGUGGAAAAGUGUCUUAGCAUGGAGGAAGAAAUAAGGCAGCCAUCCCUAGAAACCUUCAGUAAAGGAUUGCAGAGUAUCUCCAUGAAAGUUUCAUCAAGAUCUCUCAGGAGGAUACAAGGGACAUCCCUAUGUGUACAAGCAAACUGCUCCACCCCCUGUCCCAUCUCCCCUCCCCUAACCCAACAGGGGAAAGAAAAGCACAUGCCAACUCUGCCUCUGUUUGUUG